GUUCAGAAGUGUGCUGUUCCCAUGUGGGUAUACGAGUAGCUGCGCUCCCCUGCUAGAACCUCCAAACAAGCCCUCAAGGUCCAUUUGUAGGAGAACGUAGGGGAGUCAAGCUUCCAAGACUCCAGA